rnacentral:lncRNA from 1 species
UGAGAAGAGAGCACGGAAGAGCCCGACGAGAGUUCCAGCCAAGGGAAAAUGUCAGUCAGAGGAAAGUGGCCCCAACCCGGAAAUCUGGGUGCUCAGAGCUGGAAGGGGCAGCUGAGUGGGAUAAAAGCCUGAUGGGAACCACAUAAGAAGUUGGCGGGCAGAGUCAGGCCUGAGCCACACUUCCCAGCCUCUCCCUGGGCCUCGCGCUCCCCCUCCUUCCCUCCGCAGAACCAGCUUCAGGACCAACUCAGCCCUGGACACAGGGAGGAAAGAGCACUGGGUGUGGACCCAGAAGUCCGGGUCUGAGGGCCAGUCUUGGCUUUGUCAGCUCUGUGGCCUUACAGGAUGACCCAAACCCCUCAGAGCCUCAAUUGCUUGGAAAUAAAGUGAGGAAAUAUAAUAGAGUGAGGCGUGCGGCCUCUGUGAGGUGGUCGCGAGUCUGCAGCCCUGUUCCCCUCAGCUGCUCCUGCCCUGCCAACGAGAUGUGCAGACAGGACGACAAGACCCAGUGGUUUGAGGGAGCAGAGAUUUCUGUCUGUUCAGACCCAAGUUGA